rnacentral:rRNA from 1 species
CAAUAGCGUAUAUUAAAGUUGUUGCAGUUAAAAAGCUCGUAGUUGGAUUUGUGGCGUACGGUGUGUUCCGGGCACUUGUUGUCUGAGUAACCUGCUGUUGCCAUCCUUGGGUGGAACCUGUGUGGCAUUAGGUUGUCGUGCAGGGGAUGCCCAUCAUUUACUGUGAAAAAAUUAGAGUGUUCAAAGCAGGCUUAUGCCGUUGAAUAUAUUAGCAUGGAAUAAUGAGAUAGGACUUUCUUGCUAUUUUGUUGGUUUGCGCAAAGAGGUAAUGAUUAAUAGGGACAGUUGGGGGUAUUCGUAUUCCAUUGUCAGAGGUGAAAUUCUUGGAUUUUUGGAAGACGAACUACUGCGAAAGCAUUUACCAAGGAUGUUUUCAUUAA